CAGGAGGAAUCUGGUGGCGUGAUCUGGCAACCCUGUAGUGCCUCUCCUCUGCACGUACGCUGCAGCGGCGGAAGAACAAAAACACAUCAGGCAGAAGCCGAGAUAAACACAUUUCUGCCCGGGUUUAUUUCUCCUCAGCAUCCUCGGUGUGAGUUAAGGUGGUCAAACUGAGCUCAUCUGCACGCGUGCAGCAGCUAAAGCCCAGCAUCCCAGACUUCACUUCACUACGAGCCUGAUCGGCCAUGGAGGGCUGCCAUUUGUCCUGUACGUUUUAUGGCUGUAAGCGUACUUACUCCAAUUCGGAAGCGCUGAACAGUCACCUCCAGGAUCAUCAUAAGAGCCCUGCACAAUCCCUCCCCGGGAAAUCCUUCCUGUGCUCCACAAUAGGAUGUGAAGCUUCGUUCUCCAACAUGCAGCAGCUCAUGGAUCAUGGGAGGCAUCACCACAAGCCAAAUUACUUUUUCCUCUGUGAGAGCUGCAGAGCGAAGCUGCGCUCAUACCGCACCCUCCUGAAACACCUGCAGACUUGCGCCAAGGUGGCCAAAAAGGCGUCGAAGGUAGAACCUGGAGCAGCUCCUGACUUGGAUCCUUCUGGUGUCCCCCUGGCCCCUGUGGACAUGGAGCACUCCGGGCCUUUACUGGCCCCCGAGCAGAUGGAAGCUCAGCCUUCUCUGCUGUCAAACUCAGCAGCGCUGUCCCAGCCCAACCAGCAAGUUCAGCAAACUCCCAAUGGCUCAUCACUGGACCCCAUUUCCAUCAGGCCUCCUGCAGACUCCAUGGCUGUUUCAGAGCCAGCAAAAACCCAAAACAUGUCCGGUCAGCCGGAUGCCUCCUACAGCCCAUUCCCACCCAGUUUGUCUCCGGUUCACCCAGCCGUUCUGCCUGACCCGUCCCAGCAGGAGCAGCAGCAGUGGUCUGCCAGAAUCGGCCAGUCCAGCCUGGCAUCCUCUCCGCCGCACUCACCGCCCGGCUCAAACGCCGUCUGGAGGAAGAACCAAGACCCGCCUGCGCCCCUUUUGCACAGAUGGAACUCUCCUCCAAGCAAUCAGGCUCAGGCUUUAAGUAGAGAGGAAGUCCAGGCCAGUCCUUCAGCAGUCGGAUCCUUUGGGAGCACACCAGGGGGCGCUACAGCUGCCUUCAGUGCGGCCACUGCACCCCCGACCGCAAAGAGAUGACCGCACACAUAGAUGGCCAGCACAGAAGCCCAGGGGGCAAAACGAACACUGAUACAGACGCAGUUGUCGUCUCGCCUUCGCUGCUGGUUAAAAUCUCCCCCGACUCUGAAAACUCCAGUUACACUCAGCUCUGACUGCAGAAGAGGUCAUAAACCUCAACACUAGACAACACAUUUCUCUGGCUCCCAUGACUGGAAGGGUUACUGAUGGACACUGAUGGCCAGAGAGACCGGAGAGGGAGGUGACGGCUCUGUCCUGAUGAUUACGGUGAAUUAUGUGUGAUUUUCAAGCUGACUUAACCAAGGAAUAUGGAUCACGGUCAUGUGCCCACUAAUGAAGAAAGCCACACGUGUGACUGAUGUUUUAAAGGGCAAUUCCGCUGAUUUUUCUAAAUUUCUGCAUAGUUCGGUGUGUGACAUGUAAACAGAAUAUAGUGGAACAUCUGAAAUAAUAAGCUUUGUUAGGGGACUGUUUUGCCUUGCAAGGUCCUGUAAGUACCUCUUCAUAUAAAUUGUUUAUAGAACGCAUUUUAGGCCAAAAACUUAAAGUUUGCCCUAAAACAAUGUCUCAGACAUCCUUCCGAGAGGGAGCUUUUAGAGGUGGACGUCUGGUUCCUAUCACCACCACUGUGAACAGUUCUGGCUCUGUAAGUUCCUCUAGAACAGAGCGUUUCACACCAAACCGCUCUGAACCGCUCUGUUUACAUCUCAGUUAUUACUUUAUGCAGCAUUUUUGAAACCCUUUAUCUGCAUGCUGUUUAUACUGGUUAGAUAGCAUCAAGGUUUAAAGCUAGUUAAAUAUUAAAGAGGUAUAUUUACAGUUUGUAAGGUGUACAUUGGUGUAUGUGCUCUUGUAGCAGGUCCAUAUUUAUCAAAUAUUUCAGUGAUUUAAAACCAAUUAUGUUUGGAAUGUGAACCUCAUUUUUUACUGUAUGAAUAAUGAGUACAUUGUUAAUGUAUUUUAGGUGUAGUGCAGCAUCAGUACACCUUUAAUAAAGCAGUACUUUGAUUUUGUUUGCAUUAAGAUUAAGUGACCCUUAUUAGUACCACAACGGGGAGAUUUCACCUCCGCAUUUAACCCAUCCAUGCAGUGAAACACCACACACACCAGUGAGCACACUUGCCAAGAGUGGUGGGCAGCCCUAUCCACAGCGCCCGGGGAGCAGUUGGGGGUUAGGUGUCUUGCUCAAGGACACCUUAGUCACGUAUUUUCGGCGCUGGGGAUCGAACCGGCGACCUUCCGGUCGCAGGGCCGGUUCUCUAACGUCCAGCUCACAACUGCCCCCAUAUAAUCAGUAUGUUUUUUUUUUCAUAUAAGUAGUUACACCUUGAUUUGUACAGUGUUGUAAAUGUAAUAAUUUGCUCCUUGUUUCUUUUUCAGUGUCAAAAUGCACCAUUAAAAUAGCGUGAAACGGUU